UGCCAACACGGCCUAACACUCAUUUCUUUGU
rnacentral:piRNA from 1 species